CCUACGGGAUGCUGCAGUGGGGGAUAUUGCACAAUGGGGGAAACCCUGAUGCAGCGACGCCGCGUGGGUGAAGAAGCGCCUCGGCGCGUAAAGCCCUGUCAGCAGGGAAGAAAAUGACGGUAACUGAAGAAGAAGCCCCGGCGAACUACGUGCCAGCAGCCGCGGUAAUACGUAGGGGGCAAGCGUUAUCCGGAUUUACGGGGUGUAAAGGGGGCGCAGAUGGCGAUGCAAGCCAGGAGUGAAAGCCCGGGGCCCAACCCCGGGACUGAUCUUGGAACUGCGUGGCUAGAGUGCAGGAGGGGCAGGCGGAAUUCCUGGUGUAGCGGUGAAAUGCGUAGAUAUCAGGAGGAACACCGGUGGCGAAGGCGGCCUGCUGGACUGCAACUGACGUUGAGGCCCGAAAGCGUGGGGAGCAAACAGGAUUAGAUACCCCUGUAGUC
rnacentral:rRNA from 1 species